AGGUAAAGUAGUGCAGCCAAGGAUGACUUGCCGGCUAGGCUCUCUCUCUCUCUCUCUUCCAUAUAUAUCAUAACUAUAGCUUAUUUUCAAAUAAUAGAUUUAUAUGUAGAUGGCAUUUUUUUUUUCUUUUUGGGACAUCUGGAUUAAUCUUUUCAAUGAAAUACUAUUGGGAGAUGGAGCAUAUUUUUGGUGGAGAUAACCGGCAAGUUGUCUUUGGCUACAAUUCUGCCUGA
rnacentral:pre_miRNA from 1 species